ACUAUCGUUAACUGAAUACAUAGGUUAACGAGGCGAACCGGGGGAACUGAAACAUCUAAGUACCCCGAGGAAAAGAAAUCAACCGAGAUUCCCCCAGUAGCGGCGAGCGAACGGGGAGCAGCCCAGAGUCUGAAUCAGCUUGUGUGUUAGUGGAACGGUCUGGAAAGUCCGACGGUACAGGGUGAUAGUCCCGUACACCAAAAUGCACAGGUUGUGAACUCGAAGAGUAGGGCGGGACACGUGGUAUCCUGUCUGAAUAUGGGGGGACCAUCCUCCAAGGCUAAAUACUCCUGACUGACCGAUAGUGAACCAGUACCGUGAGGGAAAGGCGAAAAGAACCCCGGCGAGGGGAGUGAAAAAGAACCUGAAACCGUGUACGUACAAGCAGUGGGAGCACCUUCGGGUGUGACUGCGUACCUUUUGUAUAAUGGGUCAGCGACUUAUAUUCUGUAGCAAGGUUAACCGUAUAGGGGAGCCGCAGGGAAACCGAGUCUUAACUGGGCGUUAAGUUGCAGGGUAUAGACCCGAAACCCGGUGAUCUAGCCAUGGGCAGGUUGAAGGUUGGGUAACACUAACUGGAGGACCGAACCGACUAAUGUUGAAAAAUUAGCGGAUGACUUGUGGCUGGGGGUGAAAGGCCAAUCAAACCGGGAGAUAGCUGGUUCUCCCCGAAAGCUAUUUAGGUAGCGCCUCGUGAACUCAUCUUCGGGGGUAGAGCACUGUUUCGGCUAGGGGGUCAUCCCGACUUACCAACCCGAUGCAAACUACGAAUACCGAAGAAUGUUAUCACGGGAGACACACGGCGGGUGCUAACGUCCGUCGUGAAGAGGGAAACAACCCAGACCGCCAGCUAAGGUCCCAAAGUCAUGGUUAAGUGGGAAACGAUGUGGGAAGGCACAGACAGCCAGGAUGUUGGCUUAGAAGCAGCCAUCAUUUAAAGAAAGCGUAAUAGCUCACUGGUCGAGUCGGCCUGCGCGGAAGAUGUAACGGGGCUAAACCAUGCACCGAAGCUGCGGCAGCGACACUAUGUGUUGUUGGGUAGGGGAGCGUUCUGUAAGCCUGCGAAGGUGACCUGUGAGGGUUGCUGGAGGUAUCAGAAGUGCGAAUGCUGACAUAAGUAACGAUAAAGCGGGUGAAAAGCCCGCUCGCCGGAAGACCAAGGGUUCCUGUCCAACGUUAAUCGGGGCAGGGUGAGUCGACCCCUAAGGCGAGGCCGAAAGGCGUAGUCGAUGGGAAACAGGUUAAUAUUCCUGUACUUGGUGUUACUGCGAAGGGGGGACGGAGAAGGCUAUGUUAGCCGGGCGACGGUUGUCCCGGUUUAAGCAUGUAGGCUGAUUGUCCAGGCAAAUCCGGAUAAUCAAGGCUGAGGUGUGAUGACGAGGCACUACGGUGCUGAAGUAACAAAUGCCCUGCUUCCAGGAAAAGCCUCUAAGCAUCAGGUAACAUUAAAUCGUACCCCAAACCGACACAGGUGGUCAGGUAGAGAAUACCAAGGCGCUUGAGAGAACUCGGGUGAAGGAACUAGGCAAAAUGGUGCCGUAACUUCGGGAGAAGGCACGCUGGUGUGUAGGUGAAGUCCCUGCGGAUGGAGCUGAGACCAGUCGAAGAUACCAGCUGGCUGCAACUGUUUAUUAAAAACACAGCACUGUGCAAACACGAAAGUGGACGUAUACGGUGUGACGCCUGCCCGGUGCCGGAAGGUUAAUUGAUGGGGUUAUCCGUAAGGAGAAGCUCUUGAUCGAAGCCCCGGUAAACGGCGGCCGUAACUAUAACGGUCCUAAGGUAGCGAAAUUCCUUGUCGGGUAAGUUCCGACCUGCACGAAUGGCGUAAUGAUGGCCAGGCUGUCUCCACCCGAGACUCAGUGAAAUUGAACUCGCUGUGAAGAUGCAGUGUACCCGCGGCAAGACGGAAAGACCCCGUGAACCUUUACUAUAGCUUGACACUGAACAUUGAGCCUUGAUGUGUAGGAUAGGUGGGAGGCUUUGAAGCGUGGACGCCAGUCUGCGUGGAGCCAACCUUGAAAUACCACCCUUUAAUGUUUGAUGUUCUAACGUUGGCCCCUGACCGGGGUUGCGGACAGUGUCUGGUGGGUAGUUUGACUGGGGCGGUCUCCUCCCAAAGCGUAACGGAGGAGCACGAAGGUUAGCUAAUCCUGGUCGGACAUCAGGAGGUUAGUGCAAUGGCAUAAGCUAGCUUGACUGCGAGCGUGACGGCGCGAGCAGGUGCGAAAGCAGGUCAUAGUGAUCCGGUGGUUCUGAAUGGAAGGGCCAUCGCUCAACGGAUAAAAGGUACUCCGGGGAUAACAGGCUGAUACCGCCCAAGAGUUCAUAUCGACGGCGGUGUUUGGCACCUCGAUGUCGGCUCAUCACAUCCUGGGGCUGAAGUAGGUCCCAAGGGUAUGGCUGUUCGCCAUUUAAAGUGGUACGCGAGCUGGGUUUAGAACGUCGUGAGACAGUUCGGUCCCUAUCUGCCGUGGGCGCUGGAGAAUUGAGGGGGGCUGCUCCUAGUACGAGAGGACCGGAGUGGACGCAUCACUGGUGUUCGGGUUGUCAUGCCAAUGGCACUGCCCGGUAGCUAAAUGCGGAAGAGAUAAGUGCUGAAAGCAUCUAAGCACGAAACUUGCCCCGAGAUGAGUUCUCCCUGAGACUAUAAGUCUCCUGAAGGAACGUUAAAGACGAUGACGUUGAUAGGCCGGGUGUGUAAGCGCAGCGAUGCGUUGAGCUAACCGGUACUAAUGAACCGUGAGGCUUAACC
rnacentral:rRNA from 1 species